rnacentral:lncRNA from 1 species
AAAUCCAUAACCCCAAUCCAUUCCAAAUGAUUCAUUCCUCUCUGGUUCUUCAAUCCAUUCGAUGAUGACGCGCGUUCCUUUACUGAGCUUCGAUCUCAAUCUCUGCUCGCGAAUGUGAUUCGAUCGUUGAGCUUUGAUCUUCUCUGCUCGCGAAUGAGCUUCGAUUCUCUGCUCGUUGAGCUUCGAUUCUCUGCUCCUCUUCUCAUUGAGCUUCGAUCCUCUCUGCUCGUGUUCAUCACCGCCGGUCACUGUUCAAUUAUCACUACUCGUGUUUUUUGUAAGAUUCUCGUUUCGGCAUUAUUCUGCAGGUACUGAUGAUUCUACUGUUCUUUCUCUAUUCUAUUUUAGCACCUUUUUGUGUUUUGAAUCCUAAUUUUUGGUUAAACUUGUUGCUGUGUAUAUUAAUUUUAAACUUGUUCCCCUCUAUUUCCUAUGUGAGUUCGCUUUCUAUUUUCAUCUUCACUUCUCUGCGAUAUCACUGAUGUUAGAAUCGGAGCGUCACGAUUUAUCCGACGACACCGAUUACGCCGCUUCGCAGCAACAAGUAACACUGUUUCUCUAUUCCUCUCCUUUCACUUCACAAUUUCUCCGGUUCCGAUCCGAUUGCAUUUCAAUUAGGGUUGCACGAUUCAAUUGAAUGCUUCACUAUUGGAUUGCUUUCUUAAUUUUUAUCAUUCCAAUCACAAAUUUAAUUGAGUUGAUGUUUUUUUAACAUAUAUAAUUUGAUUAACUUAAAUAACAUAUACUACUUUUCUGCCAGUAUUGAAUUACCUAUGUGCUUCACAAAAUAAUUUCUUUAGAAUAUCUAUUUAAUUGUGUAAUGUGUCCUAUUCAAAUUUGCAGGCUGCUUUUCUGUUAACUUUGGUUGGAUCAGAA